AUGCAACGACUAAUGCUAGUAUUUGCGUAAGUUGUCCACAUUCCAUGUGUGUGGCAACUCUGCUCCAAGCUGGUCUAUGAGGUAAAACGAUCCUGGCCUGUUGCUUCGAGUGACAACAUAUGGCCCUUCCCAAGUUUCUUGCAACUUCCUAAGGUUCUCCUAGUUUUUUCUCUUCUUGAUGACCAGGUCUCCCACCUUGAUUUCUUUUUGGACCACUUUCUUAUCCCUCCAGUUUCUCGUUUCCUGUUGAUAAUUGUCAAGGUUUUCUGCUGCUUGUAGUAUGUCAAGCUCUAUCAAGUCUUUUUUUGAUUUCUUCAUUAUCUGAGUUAGCCUCGAUCUUCAGCACUCUCAGGCUUUCAUUUUUUAUUUCUUCAUGUGAAACCUGUUGCUCUUGAUGUUGUGGUGUUGUGGGAUCAUAUUACCCUUGGGAGCUCAUCUACCCAUUUUCCUUUCUUUUGAUCAAAUAGACAUUUUUUGAUGCUUGAAAAGAUUAUGUCGUUUGCUCUUUUUACAGCUCUGUUUGAUUGAGGAUGAUAUACCGAAGCAAAUUUUACUUUAGUACCUAUGCUUGCACAUAAUUCCUUGAAAUCAUUAUAGUCCAAUUGCUUGUCAUUGUCCACUAUUAGUUCUCUAGGAACUCCG
rnacentral:lncRNA from 1 species